UACGAAGGGGGCUAGCGUUGCUCGGAAUCACUGGGCGUAAAGGGUGCGUAGGCGGGUCUUUAAGUCAGGGGUGAAAUCCUGGAGCUCAACUCCAGAACUGCCUUUGAUACUGAGCAUCUUGAGUUCGGGAGAGGUGAGUGGAACUGCGAGUGUAGAGGUGAAAUUCGUAGUUAUUCGCAAGAACACCAGUGGCGAAGGCGGCUCACUGGCCCGAUACUGACGCUGAGGCACGAAAGCGUGGGGAGCAAACAGG
rnacentral:rRNA from 1 species